rnacentral:rRNA from 1 species
UACGGAGGGUGCAAGCGUUAUCCGGAUUCACUGGGUUUAAAGGGCGCGUAGGAGGGCAGGUAAGUCAGUGGUGAAAUCUCCAAGCUUAACUUGGAAACUGCCGUUGAUACUAUCUGUCUUGAAUACCGUGGAGGUGAGCGGAAUAUGUCAUGUAGCGGUGAAAUGCUUAGAUAUGGCAUAGAACACCAAUUGCGAAGGCAGCGCGCUACACGAAUAUUGACUCUGAGGCACGAAAGCGUGGGGAUCAAACAGG